rnacentral:tRNA from 5 species
AAUAAGAUAGGAUAAGAUUAGUCCGAGAGGUCCAUACCCUCUAGGUGUUUUCUCUUGUUG